rnacentral:lncRNA from 10 species
GUCCUCAUUAGAGGGAAGCAGAAAGACCAAAGUCAGAGACGGAGAUGUGGCCGUAGAAGCAGAGGUCCAUGUGCUGCGGGGCCAUGAGCCAAGGAACCCACGCCGCCUCUGGGAACUGGGAAAGGCAAGGGAGCAACGUCUCCCUGGAGCUCCAGAGUGAGCCAGCCCUGAUGACACCGUGACUUCAGCCCUCGGAGACUGACUGUGGACAUCGGACCUCUGUCACUAUUUUCUGCAAACUAGGAAUAGAAGCAAGCUUCUUAACCUGAUGUAUCGCACCUUCAAAAAGCCUACAGCAAACAUCUUACUUAGUGAUGAAAAACUGAUUGCCUUCCCCAUAAGAUUGAGAACCAGGAACUGUCCAGGAAGACCCUGCAGUCUCUCUGCAGGCUCAUGGGAGCUCCCAGAACUGAGACAACACACGGAUCCAGGCCUGCUUCGAAGUCAGUGGGAUGCGGCCCUUGAAAGUCGAUGUAUUGGGUUCCUAGGGCUCUCGUGAAAACAUGCCACACCUGGCUGGUUUUAAACAACAGGAGUUUAUUCUGUCAGUUGAGAAGGCUACAAGUGCAAAAUCAAGGUAUUGACGGGAUGAGUUCCAACUAGAGGCUGUGAGGCAGAUCAACUCCAUGGCUCUCUCCUGGCUUCUGCUGGUUUCUGGCAACCGUUCACUUCCCAUGCCUGGUAGACACAUCACUCUAACCUCUGCCUCCCUUUUUCAUGGGCACAUUCGCGCCUGUGUGUGUGUGUGUGUGGAUGUGUGUGUUAAGGACAGCAAUCAUUAGACUAGAUGGGGCCCACUCUAAUCCACUGUGAGCUUCUCUUACUUUGGUAACAUCUGCAAAGACCCUAUUUCCAAACAAGGUCACAUUCCAUGUUCUGGGACUGUCUUCUGAGAGAUGUCUCCCCCAGGAUCCUUCCAGGUGGAAGGAUGCCCUUUGACCUGCAAAGCCAGGCAGAAAACCAGGAUCAGGGCAGGACAAGAGGAUGCUAGCCUGUGAUGGCUCCCACUCAGGUGGGAUGUGAGAAGUGCCUGUGGCCUGGGACACACCAACUUGCUCCCGUUACCUCAUCUGAGAUGGACUGCACAGUGUAUGUCCAGGGCCCAACCCGGUACACUGUGCCUUUGCAAUGCUGUCUCUGUGCUUUGGAAAUUCACUCAGCCCACUGCGUGGGGUGGUCUGAGGCGGGCCACAACCAUUUCUCAACCAUCCCUGAGUACCUGACCAGUAUCCCUCGGGGGUGACGACGACCGCCUACAUCUGGAGCAUGAGGAGCGUGUUUACCUGGUGAGUAAGGAUGCAAGCAUAGGACGUCCUGGCCGAUCCUCUGCACAAGCAAUGCCUUUGCUCCAACGGGAUGGGCAACGUUGGAUUAGGCCUGAGGCAGAUUUGAUCUCGGAAGAUACAUUCGAGUCUAUGUGUUUUGUGCAUUUAUUUUUGUUUCCUUGAAUUAACAUGGAGUCCAUUUCAACUUUCACUUAGUCUCCUUUCUCUUCCCCCACUUCUUUCUCUCUCUCUCUUUCUUUGUAUGUGGAAGAAUUUUAACUCUGUGUUCCAUAAUGUCUAAAUACUCAAAUUUAGAGUUGACAGCCAUACAGCAAAUUAUUCAAGUUGCUGUCAAAAAAAAAAAAUCCCUGCGUUUUCUAGGAUUAAAACUGUGAAUAGAGUACUGGAAGAAAAAAAAGUCAUAGACUCAGAUGCAAAAUGACAACAUUUAAUGGGAUGAUAAGGAAAUAAGACUUGACAAGAAACCAUAGCCCACUGCAGACUGUUCACGAUGUCAGAUGGUUCAUGAUUUUUUUCCAGGUUUGAUACAGAAGAAUCAGUUUGUUACAAGAAAUGCUUCUCCAACUCUUCUAGUAAUUGCUUUGUCUCACUCGGAAACUGAACUACUGUCGAUGUUGUAAAAAGCUAGGGCAUAUUCUUCU